GCCGGGCGCGGUGGCUCAAGCCUGUAAUGCCAGCACUUUGGGAGGCCGAGAUGGGUGGAUCACAAGGUCAGGAGAUCGAGACCAUCCUGGCUAACACGGCGAAACCCCAUCUCUACUAAAAAAUNNNNNNNNNNGAGAUGGGGUUUCGCCGUGUUAGCCAGGAUGGUCUCGAUCUCCUGACCUUGUGAUCCACCCAUCUCGGC
rnacentral:SRP_RNA from 1 species